UACGUAGGGCGCAAGCGUUGUCCGGAAUUAUUGGGCGUAAAGAGCUCGUAGGCGGUUUGUCGCGUCUGCUGUGAAAUCCCAGGCUCAACUUGGGGCGUGCAGUGGGUACGGGCAGACUAGAGUGCGGUAGGGGAGACUGGAAUUCCUGGUGUAGACGGUGGAAUGCGCAGAAUAUCAGGAGGAACACCGAUGGCGAAGGCAGGUCUCUGGGCAUUAACUGA
rnacentral:rRNA from 1 species